rnacentral:rRNA from 1 species
UUUUAUUUGAGAGUUUGAUCCUGGCUCAGGAUGAACGCUGGCGGCGUGCCUAACACAUGCAAGUUGAGCGAUUUACUUCGGUAAAGAGCGGCGGACGGGUGAGUAACGCGUGGGUAACCUACCCUGUACACACGGAUAACAUACCGAAAGGUAUGCUAAUACGGGAUAAUAUAUUUGAGAGGCAUCUCUUGAAUAUCAAAGGUGAGCCAGUACAGGAUGGACCCGCGUCUGAUUAGCUAGUUGGUAAGGUAACGGCUUACCAAGGCGACGAUCAGUAGCCGACCUGAGAGGGUGAUCGGCCACAUUGGAACUGAGACACGGUCCAAACUCCUACGGGAGGCAGCAGUGGGGAAUAUUGCACAAUGGGCGAAAGCCUGAUGCAGCAACGCCGCGUGAGUGAUGAAGGCCUUCGGGUCGUAAAACUCUGUCCUCAAGGAAGAUAAUGACGGUACUU